rnacentral:rRNA from 1 species
UCAGCUCGUGUCGUGAGAUGUUGGGUUAAGUCCCGCAACGAGCGCAACCCUUGUCAUUAGUUGCUACAUUUAGUUGGGCACUCUAAUGAGACUGCCGGUGACAAACCGGAGGAAGGUGGGGAUGACGUCAAGUCCUCAUGGCCCUUAUAGGUGGGGCUACACACGUCAUACAAUGGAUGGUACAAAGGGUCGCCAACCCGCAGGGGGAGCCAAUCCCAUAAAGCCAUUCGUAGUCCGGAUCGCAGUCUGCAACUCGACUGCGUGAAGUCGGAAUCGCUAGUAAUCGUGGAUCAGAAUGUCACGGUGAAUACGUUCCCGGGUCUU